rnacentral:rRNA from 1 species
UACGGGAGGCAGCAGUGGGGAAUAUUGCACAAUGGGCGCAAGCCUGAUGCAGCCAUGCCGCGUGUAUGAAAAAGGCCUUCGGGUUGUAAAGUACUUUCAGUCGUGAGGAGGUGUUAAGGUUAAUAACCUUAGCAAUUGACGUUAGCGACAGAAGAAGCACCGGCUAACUCCGUGCCAGCAGCCGCGGUAAUACGGAGGGUGCGAGCGUUAAUCGGAAUUACUGGGCGUAAAGGGCACGCAGGCGGUUAAUUAAGUUGGAUGUGAAAUCCCCGGGCUUAACCUGGGAAUGGCAUUCAAGACUGGUUAGCUAGAGUCUUGUAGAGGGGGUAGAAUUCCAUGUGUAGCGGUGAAUGCGUAGAGAUGUGGAGGAAUACCGGUGGCGAAGGCGGCCCCUGGCAAAGACUGACGCUCAUGUGCGAAAGCGUGGGGAGCAAACAGGGAUUAGAUACC